rnacentral:rRNA from 1 species
GACGAACGCUGGCGGCGUGCCUAACACAUGCAAGUCGAGCGGGGACAAACGAGUAGCAAUAUGAGUUUGUUCUAGCGGCGGACGGGUGAGUAACGCGUGAGCAACCUGUCCCAGUCAGGGGGAUAACGAACCGAAAGGUUCCCUAAUACCGCAUGAGACCACAUUGCCACAUGGCAAAGGGGUCAAAGGAGUAAUCCGGACUGGGGUGGGCUCGCGUCUGAUUAGCUAGUUGGUGGGGUAACGGCCUACCAAGGCGACGAUCAGUAGCCGACCUGAGAGGGUGAUCGGCCACAUUGGAACUGAGAGACGGUCCAAACUCCUACGGGAGGCAGCAGUGGGGAAUAUUGGGCAAUGGGCGAAAGCCUGACCCAGCAACGCCGCGUGAAGGAAGAAGGUUUUCGGAUCGUAAACUUCUAUCCUUGGUGAAGAUAAUGACGGUAGCCAAGAAGGAAGCCCCGGCUAACUACGUG